rnacentral:rRNA from 1 species
AACGAACGCUGGCGGCAUGCCUAACACAUGCAAGUCGAACGAGACCUUCGGGUCUAGUGGCGCACGGGUGCGUAACGCGUGGGAACCUGCCCUUAGGUUCGGAAUAACUCCCCGACAGGGGUGCUAAUACCGGAUAAUGUCUUCGGACCAAAGAUUUAUCGCCUUUGGAUGGGCCCGCGUUGGAUUAGCUAGUUGGUAGGGUAAAAGCCUACCAAGGCGACGAUCCAUAGCUGGUCUGAGAGGAUGAUCAGCCACACUGGGACUGAGACACGGCCCAGACUCCUACGGGAGGGAGCAGUGGGGAAUAUUGGACAAUGGGCGAAAGCCUGAUCCAGCAAUGCCGCGUGAGUGAUGAAGGCCUUAGGGUUGUAAAGCUCUUUUACCCGGGAUGAUAAUGACAGUACCGGGAGAAUAAGCACCGGCUAACUCCGUG